rnacentral:misc_RNA from 1 species
GAUGAAGAACGCAGCGAAAUGCGAUAAGUAAUGUGAAUUGCAGAAUUCAGUGAAUCAUCGAAUCUUUGAACGCAUCUUGCGCUCCUUGGUAUUCUGAGGAGCAUGCCUGUUUGAGUGUCAUUAAAUUCUCAACUACACUGACUUUGAAUUGGUGUGGAUUGGAUUUGGGGGGAAAAUUGUUGUGGGCUUUUUGUAUAGUCUGCUCCCCUGAAAUUGAUUAGCGGUACCUUUGUGGAACUGUCUACAGGUGUGAUAAUUAUCUACAUCUUAGACAUCUGCUGGAAUGCUGCUCUCUAAACCUUACUUGUAUUGACAAUCUUGACCUCAAAUCAGGUAGGACUACCCGCUGAACUUAAGCAUAUCAAUAAGCGGAGGA